rnacentral:rRNA from 1 species
UACGUAGGGUGCAAGCGUUAUCCGGAAUUAUUGGGCGUAAAGAGCUCGUAGGCGGUUUGUCGCGUCUGCUGUGAAAACUGGAGGCUCAACCUCCAGCCUGCAGUGGGUACGGGCAGACUAGAGUGCGGUAGGGGAGAUUGGAAUUCCUGGUGUAGCGGUGGAAUGCGCAGAUAUCAGGAGGAACACCGAUGGCGAAGGCAGAUCUCUGGCCGUAACUGGACGCUGAGGAGCGAAAGCAUGGGAGCGAACAGG